rnacentral:rRNA from 1 species
CGAAGGGUGCAAGCGUUACUCGGAAUUACUGGGCGUAAAGCGUGCGUAGGUGGUCUGUUAAGUCUGAUGUGAAAGCCCUGGGCUCAACCUGGGAAUUGCAUUGGAUACUGGCAGGCUAGAGUGCGGUAGAGGGUAGUGGAAUUCCCGGUGUAGCAGUGAAAUGCGUAGAGAUCGGGAGGAACACCAGUGGCGAAGGCGACUACCUGGACCAGCACUGACACUGAGGCACGAAAGCGUGGGGAGCAAACAGGAUUAGAUACCCUGGUAGUCCACGCCCUAAACGAUGCGAACUGGAUGUUGGGAGCAACUAGGCUCUCAGUAUCGAAGCUAACGCGUUAAGUUCGCCGCCUGGGGAGUACGGUCGCAAGACUG